ACUCACUGCCUCUCGUUCCUCUGCUUACGACAUUUUCAUGAAUAAGCCAGAAGAUAGUCAGCACAGAAGCCUCCCUACAACCUGGAAAAAGAAAUGAGCUUUCACUUUGAAUAUCACACAGACAUACUGAGGGAUGGUGUCAGACAAGUGCUGAAGGCACUGUUUGUUUCCUGCCCCAAUGCUGAGCUCAGACCACAACCGAAUCCAGAGCCUGCCAUUUAUCACUUGACCACGUACAUCUGAACCUGCAAGACCCUCGCACAGCCUUCACUGAGGUGUGAAAACUGACAGUUUCCUUCUCCUGCCACUGGUUCUGCAGUAAUUAAAGCUUUUUUGCUAUC
rnacentral:lncRNA from 1 species